rnacentral:rRNA from 1 species
UACAGAGGGUGCAAGCGUUGUUCGGAAUUAUUGGGCGUAAAGCGCGUGUAGGCGGCAUAGCAAGUCGGGUGUGAAAGCCCUCAGCUCAACUGAGGAAGUGCGCCCGAAACUGCUGUGCUUGAGUGCCGGAGAGGAUGGCGGAAUUCCCCAAGUAGAGGUGAAAUUCGUAGAUAUGGGGAGGAACACCGGUGGCGAAGGCGGCCAUCUGGGAAGAUACUGACGCUGAGGUGCGAAAGCGUGGGGAGCAAACAGG